rnacentral:rRNA from 1 species
UAGGGAAUCUUCGGCAAUGGGGGGAACCCUGACCGAGCAACGCCGCGUGAGUGAAGAAGGUUUUCGGAUCGUAAAGCUCUGUUGUUAAGGAAGAACGAGUGUGAGAAUGGAAAGUUCAUGCUGUGACGGUACUUAACCAGAAAGGGACGGCUAACUACGUGCCAGCAGCCGCGGUAAUACGUAGGUCCCGAGCGUUGUCCGGAAUUAUUGGGCGUAAAGCGCGCGCAGGCGGUCUCUUAAGUCCAUCUUAGAAGUGCGGGGCUUAACCCCGUGAGGGGAUGGAAACUGGGAGACUGGAGUAUCGGAGAGGAAAGUGGAAUUCCUAGUGUAGCGGUGAAAUGCGUAGAUAUUAGGAAGAACACCGGUGGCGAAGGCGACUUUCUGGACGAAAACUGACGCUGAGGCGCGAAAGCGUGGGGAGCAAACAGG